AACAGGAUUAGAUACCCGGGUAGUCCAUGCCGUAAACGAUGAGUGCUAAGUGUUGGAGGGUUUCCGCCCUUCAGUGCUGCAGCUAACGCAUUAAGCACUCCGCCUGGGGAGUACGACCGCAAGGUUGAAACUCAAAGGAAUUGACGGGGGCCCGCACAAGCGGUGGAGCAUGUGGUUUAAUUCGAUGCUACGCGAAGAACCUUACCAGGUCUUGACAUCUUCUGCCAACCUAAGAGAUUAGGUGUUCCCUUCGGGGACAGAAUGACAGGUGGUGCAUGGUUGUCGUCAGCUCGUGUCGUGAGAUGUUGGGUUAAGUCCCGCAACGAGCGCAACCCUUAUUGUUAGUUGCCAGCAUUUAGUUGGGCACUCUAGCAAGACUGCCGGUGACAAACCGGAGGAAGGUGGGGAUGACGUCAAAUCAUCAUGCCCCUUAUGACCUGGGCUACACACGUGCUACAAUGGACGGUACAACGAGUCGCGAAACCGCGAGGUCAAGCUAAUCUCUUAAAGUCGUUCUCAGUUCGGAUUGUAGGCUGCAACUCGCCUACAUGAAGUUGGAAUCGCUAGUAAUCGUGGAUCAGCAUGCCACGGUGAAUACGUUCCCGGGCCUUGUACACACCGCCCGUCACACCAUGAGAGUUUGUAACACCCAAAGCCGGUGAGGUAACCUUCGGGGACCAGCCGUCUAAGGUGGNANAGAUGAUUAGGGUGAAGUCGUAACAAGGUAACC
rnacentral:rRNA from 1 species